UGGGGAAUUUUGGACAAUGGGGGAAACCCUGAUCCAGCCAUCCCGCGUGUGCGAUGAAGGCCUUCGGGUUGUAAAGCACUUUUGGCAGGAAAGAAACGUCGCGGGUUAAUACCCCGCGAAACUGACGGUACCUGCAGAAUAAGCACCGGCUAACUACGUGCCAGCAGCCGCGGUAAUACGUAGGGUGCAAGCGUUAAUCGGAAUUACUGGGCGUAAAGCGUGCGCAGGCGGUUCGGAAAGAAAGAUGUGAAAUCCCAGAGCUUAACUUUGGAACUGCAUUUUUAACUACCGGGCUAGAGUGUGUCAGAGGGAGGUGGAAUUCCGCGUGUAGCAGUGAAAUGCGUAGAUAUGCGGAGGAACACCGAUGGCGAAGGCAGCCUCCUGGGAUAACACUGACGCUCAUGCACGAAAGCGUGGGGAGCAAACAGGAUUAGAUACCCUGGUAGUCCACGCCCUAAACGAUGUCAACUAGCUGUUGGGGCCUUCGGGCCUUGGUAGCGCAGCUAACGCGUGAAGUUGACCGCCUGGGGAGUACGGUCGCAAGAUUAAAACUUAAAGGAAUUGACGGGGGUGCAU
rnacentral:rRNA from 1 species